CAAUAGCGUAUAUUAAAGUUGUUGUGGUUAAAAAGCUACGUAGUUGGAUCUCGGCGGUCUGAGGGCGGUGGUCUUCAGAGAUCUACUGCCCUAUAGACCGUAGUUUUGCCAGAGGUCUCAGGGUGCUCUUAACCGAGUGUCUUGCGAUGCUGGCAGGUUUAACUUUGAAAAAAUUAGAGUGCUCAAAGCAGGCUUUUACGCCUGAAUAUUCGUGCAUGGAAUAAUAGAAUAGGAAGUCGUUUCUAUUUUGUUGGUUUUCGGAAAUCGACUUAAUGAUUAAUAGGGACAGUCGGGGGUCAUUUGUAUUCAAACGACAGAAGGUGAAAUUCUUGGACCGUUUAGAAGACAAACUACUGCGAAAGCAUUUGCCAAGAAAUGUUUUCAUUAAUCAAAGAAACGAAAAGUUAAGAGGUUCGAAGAAUGAUCAGAUACCA
rnacentral:rRNA from 1 species